CAGCAGCCGCGGUAAUACGAAGGGGGCUAGCGUUGUUCGGAAUUACUGGGCGUAAAGCGCACGUAGGCGGACAUUUAAGUCAGGGGUGAAAUCCCGGGGCUCAACCCCGGAACUGCCUUUGAUACUGGGUGUCUAGAGUAUGGAAGAGGUGAGUGGAAUUCCGAGUGUAGAGGUGAAAUUCGUAGAUAUUCGGAGGAACACCAGUGGCGAAGGCGGCUUACUGGUCCAUUACUGACGCUGAGGUGCGAAAGCGUGGGGAGCAAACAGGAUUAGAUACCCGUGUAGUCCCUGUCUCUUAUAC
rnacentral:rRNA from 1 species